GUGUGCGAUCAUAUUAGUACGAAUGCAUCGGAUCCCAUUGGAACUUCAAAGUUAAGGGUGCCUGGGCGAGAAUGAUACUAAGACAAGCUUUGUUGCAGGACUUCCACAGAAACAGGCAAGACAUGUCACACCCC
rnacentral:rRNA from 1 species